UCUCCACAAAUAAACACCAUUGACUAUAAAACUAAAUAUUACAGUGUUUCCUUCUUUUAGUCUUGAGUUUCAACUAACUCUUUUACAAAAUAAUCAUGAUCAAGGAAAACAUGUACAUAGUGAUUGUUUAUUUGCUCCAAUGAAAAAACUGCAUCAUUUUGAGAUACAGUAUGCUUCUACCUCAGUGGCUGAUACACUUUUCCCUGCUGUUAUUGGUAACUUAAAUUUUUUGCUUACUUCAUAAUUAAGAUAAAUAUCAUCAACAUAAUUCCUAAACGAUUCUCCAAUAUUGAGUUGAAUAUCUAUAUUUGUAAAACUGGGUAAUUUGGAGAGAACAUGUUCUGGUAAAAAUGGAUAUAUGCCAGUAGCCUUAAAUCCUGCUUGGAGAUUAUGUUCUAGAUUUUCUUUACCAACAUUAAGAGUAGAUUUAAUGAGCUGC
rnacentral:lncRNA from 1 species